rnacentral:lncRNA from 1 species
AUUUCUUCCUUCCACGUAGUGUUUGUUCGCUAUUGUCUACUGAGACCUGACUGGGAAUUUUAGGAUGGGGGAGAGAAGAUUGUUAUCUAAACAAAUAAUUAGGGUGACAUGGUCAUUAUUCACGACCAGGGUGGCCACAUUUUAGAACUCUCAGUGCGGGGGCUGCUCUUGUCUCCUAAGCUCCCCAAACAUGCAGGACUCUUGUUUUCAAAAAAAAAUGUGUCUAGAAGAAAGAGGUGGGGAGGCUGAGCUUCCGAGAACUCUGUGUGUUGGAAGAUAGCCCCGAGGGCUGGAGCGGAUUGGGCUGACUUUGAAUCGCAGCAGCAGCACAAUAACUGACAUAUUUCUGGAAAAAUCAUUUGCCCAAAGGGCAGGUCUCGGGACAGGCUGGUCCAGUGGCUUUGGUGAGGGCGCCUCCAUUUGUGAACGCUGGGAUUCCUCUGGGUGGGCUUUGGCAGGUGGCUCCUAUGGUAGGAAGGAUGACCAGGUCCCUGGGAAUGAGCUGCCUACCUGCUGCUCCACGAGGAAGCUCAGGCCUGCACAGGCUCCACCAGGCCUUGGAUGCCCUCUAGUUGAGUCAGAGACCCUGGAAACACACUGAGAUCUCCAAUUGCUGCCUCCAUUGAUGUCUCUAGACCUGCAGAUACGAAGCAAACCUGGGAUUGCUUCUUCCAGGAACGUAUCAAGCUCUCUCAGUGUUUCAGUGUUGGAGAUUGAGGCUGUGCCACAUCUUCUGCCAUCCUAAGGGGACAUGAUGGUUCUGUGAUUCCCAGAGAGCUGGCAGAUUGUGACAAUCUCCAGGAGAACCUACAGAUUGGAAGCAGCCCACACCUGAUGUGGACUCCUGACCCGGGACUCACUCUUCAUUCAGAAGACUGGUGGCCCACGUGCCAGGACCACCCCACCUCUCUUGCUGCCUUUUCUCCUGUCCUGAUGGGGUUCUGGGAGGGAGACCUGUCGCUGAUGAGAUGAAGAAUGUGGGGAUCGAGCAGCCUUCUUCUUUGGGACCCCUCGAUAUCCCAUGGAAUGCUCGCACGUUCUCAAAGACUGAGUCACAAGCCCCUACCCCUUCCUUGCUGUGGUUAGUAUCUUGUUCUGUGAUUGGUUAGCAAUGUUGACUACCCACGUAGUGAAUCUUUUGUCUGCAAUUUAGAGAAUGUGUAAACAAAUAAAAGGCUUUAAAA